GUGAGAGUGUGCGAGUGAGUGUGUGUGGGUGGGAGUGUGCGUGUGGGUGUGAGUGUGUGAUGUGAGAGUGUGCGUGGCUGUGGGUGUGUGUGAUACGUGAGUGUGUGUGGGUGUGGCUGUGAGUGUGGGUGUGUGAGAGUGUGUGUGAUGUGUGAGUGUGCGUGGGUGGGAGUGUGGGUGAUGGUGUGAGUGUGGAAGGGUGAGUGUGUGAGGGUGUGAAUGAGUGUGAGUGUGAGUCUCAGUGUGUGAUGGUGUGAGUGUGAGUGAGGGUGUGAGUGUGGGUGUGAGGGGGAGUGUAUGCGUGAGGGGGAGUUGAGUGUGAGUGUGGAAGGGUGAGUGUGCGAGGGUGUGAGUGUGAGUCUCAGUGAGUGAUGGUGUGAGUGUGAGCGUGGGUGUGAGAGUGUGUGUGAGGGGGAGUUCAGUGUGAGUGUGCAAGGGUGUGAGUGAGUGUGACUGUGUGUGUGAGUCUCAGUGAGUGAUGGUGUGUGUCAGUGUGAGUGUGUGUGAGUGUGAGUGUGUGUGUGUGAGGGUGUGAGUAUGGGGGUGUGAGUGUGUGUGUGUGCCUGAGGGUGUGAGUGUGUGUGUGUGUGUGAGUGUGAGUCUCAGUGUGUGAUGGUGUGAGUGUGUCAGUGUGUGUGAGUGUGUGAUGGUGUGAAUGUGUGUGAGUGUGAGUGUGUGACUGAGGGUGUAAAUUGUGUGUGACACUGCGAGUGUGUGUGUGUGAGUGUGUGUGAGUGUGAGAGUGUGCUGGUGUGAAUGUGUGUGUGUGUGUGAUGGUGAGUGUGAGUGUGUGCCUGAGGGUGUGAGUGUGUGUGUGUGUGUGUGAGUGUGAUUGAGAGUGUGAUGGUGUGAAUGUGUGUGUGUCAGUGUGAGUGUGGACUGAGGGUGUGUGUGUGUGAGUGUGACACUAAGAGUGUGUGAGUGUGUGUGUGUGAGUGUGACACUGCGAGUGUGCGAGUGUGUGUGUGUGUGAGUCACAGUGUGUGAUGGUGUGAGUGUGUCAGUGUGAGGGUGAGGGUGUGAGUGUGUGUGUGUGUGUCAGUGUGUGAGUGUGGGGGUGUCAGUGUGUGUGAGUGUGUGCCUGAGGGUGUGAGUGUGUGUGAGUGUGUGUGAGUCUCAGUGUGUGAUGGUGUGAAUGUGUGUGAGUGAGUGAGUGUGUGACUGAGGGUGUAAAUGUGUGUGUGUGACACUGCGAGUGUGUGAGUGUGAGUGUGUGUGUGUGUGUGUCGUGUUGGUGUGAGUGUGAGUGGCGCUGUGACGCUGAGUGUGCCCCCGCGUCACGUGGUGUCGUGACCUCUGACCUUUCCCCCCUCCCCUCCCCGCGCUGUCUCCGUGGGGGGGGGCGGAGCUGGGAAAAAAGAGGGGCGUGGCUUCUCCUGGCCACGCCCCCGAUCGCACCGCUUUCCCCGUUGCCACGGCAACAGCCGGCCAGGUGGUGCGUGACGUCACGGCGGCGCCAGCCAAUCGGGGCUCUCCCCGGCGCUGUUGUUGGGGAGGGAUCGAGCGUGGGGCGGGGUCACGUGCGCGGG
rnacentral:lncRNA from 1 species